CCUACGGGUGGCAGCAGUGGGGAAUAUUGGACAAGGGGGGGAACCCUGAUCCAGCCAUGCCGCGUGUGUGAAGAAGGCCCUCGGGUUGUAAAGCACUUUCAGUGAGGAAGAACGCCUGGUGGUUAAUACCCAUCAGGAAAGACAUCACUCACAGAAGAAGCACCGGCUAACUCCGUGCCAGCAGCCGCGGUAAUACGGAGGGGUGCGAGCGUUAAUCGGAAUUACUGGGCGUAAAGCGCGCGUAGGUGGCUUGAUAAGCCGGUUGUGAAAGCCCCGGGCUCAACCUGGGAACGGCAUCCGGGACUGUCAAGCUAGAGUGCAGGAGAGGAAGGUAGAAUUCCCGGUGUAGCGGUGAAAUGCGUAGAGCUCGGGAGGAAUACCAGUGGCGAAGGCGGCCUUCUGGACUGACACUGACACUGAGGUGCGAACGCGUGGGUAGCAAACAGGAUUAGAUACCCUGGUAGUC
rnacentral:rRNA from 1 species